UAAAGAUCGAAUAAACGAAAACCUCUUAAUCAGAAGUAGGGUUCGAUUUUGCUUCCUCAAAUGCGAACCAAUCUUCGGCGGACAAAUCAAUGGCGUUUGUCGCAUAUGUUCGCAAGCCGAAGAAUCUGGCUAUGGCUGUCCAUGGCGAGAAGCUGGAUAUUUUCUCAGCUGAUAAAAGCCGAUUUGUCACCGUAGAUUCUUGCAGCUAAUGCUUGUGUAUAGAAAGUUUCAGCACUUUGAACAAACAAUUGUGGAGCAUUUGCCAGGUUGAAGGAGUUAUGCGUGCAGCGCAAGCAUACAAGCAACAAUUCAAAUAAGAUAGACUAUGAUUAAUGAUUGAACAAUCGAAGUCUUCUCUAACUGCUCAGGUGUGUACUAUACUUAUACUUUUCAUGCAUCUAUGAGCUUUAAGUUCAAUUUAUAGAAGCUACAAUACCUGAAAGGUAAUGCCUCUCACAAUAAUGUUAUCUGCAAUUGAACUAAAUGUAGCGCUAGUAUCUGUUUGUUGAUGGUCAUUGAAAGUGAUAAUCGUUGUAUUGCGGUCACCUCCUUGUAGAUAAAUGAAUGGUUUUUUUGAUGUGAUCGUCACCUUUUCUCUGCAAAUGACCAUAUUAGAACAAAACUUCUCUAGAAUUAGGCAUAUUCAUGCGUUGUAUUACCUGUAUACACCAGGAUUGACUUGAAUCUUAACCCAUUUGUUGUUGUUAAGUGGAACUGAGUCGAUGGCUGCUUGAAUGGUCUUGAAAUUGCCUUUACCAGACUUGUCAACAACAAUGACGGAUUGAAUUUUAAAGUCAAGGGCCCUUGUAGAGUUCAUUGCAGCAUUAAACAAGGUGAAGAGCAAGAGAAAUGGAGAUAAUAGCUGCAUUCUUCUCGGUUGAGAAGGAAGCUGAAUUCUGUAAGUUGACUGUAUUAAUAAAAAUACUCGAAAACUGGGUAAUUAUCUCAAUAAUAUCUUUAAGCUUUAUGAUUA